UACGUAGGGUGCAAGCGUUGUUCGGAAUUACUGGGCGUAAAGGGCUCGUAGGCGGCCAACUAAGUCAGACGUGAAAUCCCUCGGCUUAACCGGGGAACUGCGUCUGAUACUGGAUGGCUAGAGUGUGGGAGAGGGAUGCGGAAUUCCAGGUGUAGCGGUGAAAUGCGUAGAUAUCUGGAGGAACACCGGUGGCGAAGGCGGCAUCCUGGACCACGACUGACGCUGAGUGAGCGAAAGCCAGGGGAGCAAACGGG
rnacentral:rRNA from 1 species